rnacentral:rRNA from 1 species
AGUAAAAGUCGUAACAAGGUCUCCGUAGGUGAACCUGCGGGGGGAUCAUUACAAGUGACCCCGGUCUAACCACCGGGAUGUUCAUAACCCUUUGUUGUCCGACUCUGUUGCCUCCGGGGCGACCCUGCCUUCGGGCGGGGGCUCCGGGUGGACACUUCAAACUCUUGCGUAACUUUGCAGUCUGAGUAAACUUAAUUAAUAAAUUAAAACUUUUAACAACGGAUCUCUUGGUUCUGGCAUCGAUGAAGAACGCAGCGAAAUGCGAUAAGUAAUGUGAAUUGCAGAAUUCAGUGAAUCAUCGAAUCUUUGAACGCACAUUGCGCCCCCUGGUAUUCCGGGGGGCAUGCCUGUUCGAGCGUCAUUUCACCACUCAAGCUUCGCUUGGUAUUGAGCAACGCGGUCCGCCGCGUGCCUCAAAUCGACCGGCUGGGUCUUCUGUCCCCUAAGCGUUGUGGAAACUAUUCGCUAAAGGGUGCUCGGGAGGCUACGCCGUAAAACAAACCCAUUUCUAAGGUUGACCUCGGAUCAGGUAGGGAUACCCGCUGAACUUAAGCAUAUCAAUAAGCGGAGGAAAAGAAACCAACAGGGAUUGCCCUAGU